rnacentral:rRNA from 1 species
AGCGAACGCUGGCGGCAGGCCUAACACAUGCAAGUCGAACGAUCCUUCGGGAUAGUGGCGGACGGGUGAGUAACACGUGGGAACGUGCCCUUUGGUUCGGAAUAACUCAGGGAAACUUGAGCUAAUACCGGAUGUGGCCUUCGGGGGAAAGAUUUAUCGCCAUUGGAGCGGCCCGGGUUGGAUUGGCUAGUUGGUGGGGUAAAGGCCCACCAAGGCUACGAUCCAUAGCUGGUCUGAGAGGAUGAUCAGCCACACUGGGACUGAGACACGGCCCAGACUCCUACGGGAGGCAGCAGUGGGGAAUCUUGCGCAAUGGGCGAAAGCCUGACGCAGCCAUGCCGCGUGAAUGAUGAAGGUCUUAGGAUUGUAAAAUUCUUUCACCGGGGACGAUAAUGACGGUACCCGGAGAAGAAGCCCCGGCUAACUUCGUGCCAGCCGCCGCGGUAACAC